GACGAACGCUGGCGGCGUGCUUAACACAUGCAAGUCGAACGGAAAGGCCCUGCUUUUGUGGGGUGCUCGAGUGGCGAACGGGUGAGUAACAGGUGAGUAACCUGCUCUUGACUUUGGGGUAACUUCAGGAAACUGGGGCUAAUACCGGAUCGGAGCUCCCGUUGCAUGGAGGGGGUUGGAAAGUUGCGGCGGUCGGGGAUGGACUCGCGGCUUAUGAGCUUGUUGGUGGGGUAGUGGCUUACCCAGGCAUAGAAGGGUAGCCGGCCUGAGAGGGUGGCCGGCGACAUUGGGACUGAGGGACGGCGCAGAGGGGUACGGGAGGCAGCAGUGGGGAACAUGGCCCAAUGGGCGGGAGCCUGAUGAAGAAGCGCCGCGGGCGGAAUGACGGCCUGUGGGUAGUAAACCGCUUUAGCCUGUGACGAAGCGUGAGUGACGGUAAUGGGUGAAGAAGCACCGGCUAACUACGUG
rnacentral:rRNA from 1 species